UUUUUUCAGCUCACUAAAAAAAGCCAAGUUCAUAGGUGGAAUUGACAUCGUUAUUUUGUGUCUAAUUUAGUAAUCAAAUGAAUUUAAGUGAUGAAACUGGUGGAGAUAAGCAUUGUUAAAAAAAAAACAGACAUGUGAUCUUAGCCUUAAGAUCUAAGCCUUAAGUGUGCAAGUCAGCUUUUUCUAAAGUUUUUCUAAAUCAUUAAUGUACUUUUUUUUUUUUUUGACAUACACAAAAUUGAAACUAUUCUCAAUGGCCAGAGAGGAAAUCCCUGACAAGAAUGAUCAUAUUGUUGACUGGAUAGUGUGUGUGUGUGUGUGUGUGUGUUUUCUACAAAUGUCCAGAGACAGAGGAAAUAGAAGGAAGACAUGGUGGUGUGCUGUGUUGAGGGAGGGGAAGCAGCUGACUCAGGAUGCAAAAUAAUGAGACAACAUGUACAUCAUCAUCUCCAGGAUUACCGGCAAAGGUCCAGAUGGUGGCUGCUUCAUCAGCCUGGUCAACAGCCCGGCAGAGGAGUGCUCCCCACCGAACCUACGUGAGCAAGCAAGAAACCAACCUUAUCUCACGCUCCUGAGAAUCCGGGUUGUCUGUUACGGUGCCAGAGCCCAGCGCAUCCCAACUAGCACAGAGGUGCUGCGUGCGAGAAGAGAAACCUGAGGAGAGGGGAUUCUGUGAACUCAUGCAGUUCGCCCAAAGAGAGAGACGGUCACUUACUUUUUCU